rnacentral:rRNA from 1 species
AUUGAACGCUGGCGGCAGGCCUAACACAUGCAAGUCGAACGGUAACAGGAAGCAGCUUGCUGCUUUGCUGACGAGUGGCGGACGGGUGAGUCAUGUCUGGGAAACUGCCUGAUGGAGGGGGAUAACUACUGGAAACGGUAGCUAAUACCGCAUAACGUCGCAAGCCCAAAGAGGGGGACCUUCGGGCCUCUUGCCAUCGGCUGUGCCCAGAUGGGAUUGGCUAGUAGGUGGGUAACGGCUCACCUAGGCAACGAUCCCUAGCUGGUCUGAGAGGAUGACCAGCCACACUGGAACUGAGACACGGUCCAGACUCCUACGGGAGGCAGCAGUGGGGAAUAUUGCACAAUGGGCGCAAGCCUGAUGCAGCCAUGCCGCGUGUAUGAAGAAGGCCUUCGGGUUGUAAAGUACUUUCAGCGGGGAGGAAGGGAGUAAAGUUAAUACCUUUGCUCAUUGACGUUACCCGCAGAAGAAGCACCGGCUAACUCCGUG